rnacentral:pre_miRNA from 1 species
CCUCCGUCAAAAAAAAAAAUGCAAACCCUGGGUUUCCGUAUACUUGUAUGAAAUUUUUUUAUAAUUCGUAUUUUUAUUGUUGUUAGAUGAUAAAACAUGAUUAAUACUUUGUGUGUGACUUGUUUUUUUUAAUUUUUUUUAUAAUUUUUUCAAAUAAGACGGACGGUUAAACGUUGGGCACGGAAACCAGGGUUUGUCUUUUU